UACAGAGGGUGCAAGCGUUGUUCGGAAUUACUGGGCGUAAAGCGAGUGUAGGCGGUUCGAUAAGUCGGAUGUGAAAGCCCCGGGCUCAACCCGGGAAGUGCACUCGAUACUGUCGAGCUAGAGUAUCGGAGAGGUUGGUGGAAUUCUCGGUGUAGAGGUGAAAUUCGUAGAUAUCAGGAGGAACACCGAUGGCGAAGGCAGGUCUCUGGGCAUUAACUGACGCUGAGGAGCGAAAGCAUGGGGAGCGAACAGG
rnacentral:rRNA from 1 species